ensembl:lncRNA
GUGCAUGGAGACAGAUACCAGGCAGGUCAUGAGAACAUGAUGUCCGAUCAUAUGGUUCUCAAUUCAUUAAUUAUUGUUUUUAAGGGAAGACAGCAAUUCACAAACCUGAUGGAUGAUCACAAUGCAGGUUUUCAAUUAGCAUUGUACUAGAGAGAUAGACCUGUCUAGAUCUAGUUACAAUCUCUAUCUCACACAUUGGAAACCUGAUGACAGUCUGCAGCUUGUGUCGGCCAUUCAAGCAAACUAAUCCCACCUGAAACCUCAUCCACUGAGGUUAAUAUUUAACAAGCGUUGAGAGUUUGGUUCCUCACAAAAACAAGCAUCUUUCCAGUUUUUCUCUAUUAUGUUUGCAAGCCAGGUCUUCCUACAACUAACCACAGUCAAGUGUCAUCCUGAAUCCAGGUAAUGCCUCUGAUUUAGUAAUGAUUUCACUGAUUAUGUUAAUGUUUAUCUGACAGAUUCACCAAAAUGUAUUCAAUGUAAUUUUUUUUCUGUCUAUAGCCAGAGGUAGCUUUUGUUUAUAUAGCGAAAAGAGUGUUCACACCCUCACUCCUUAAUCCUGGUUAGCAAAAUGCUAUGAAGGUUGAUUUGACUGUUCUAUUAAAUAUAUAUUCAGAUGGAUGGGGAAUAUAGAGACUAUUUCUAAAAUUUGUUGUGAAAAGGCUGUUGUUUAAGUUGCAUGUACCUUAUUGAACAGCAUUGCUCAGUUUGCAUGUUUGUGAAGGAAUUCUGCUGGUGUCGUGUUCAGCCACGGCUGAGUGUAACUUGCAAACAGUGUUGCAAUGUAUCAUUGUGACAUGUGUGCUUUGUUUCAUUUCCAAACAAAACAGAGAUACGAACACUCUGGCACCAUGUAUGUCAAUUCUGGAGCAGAAAAUGUGUCCAUGUCUUUGAACUUUAUGGGCAGGAAGUUACGUAACCAUACUGUUGCCCCAGCAGCAAAACAAUGUGCCUGGGAGACCACUGACCUUUCUCGAUAUCAGGAUGAUCCAGUGGUCUCCACACGAGCGGUACUUUCUCAUCCCACUGGGUCAUCAGAGGAACUGCCAGGCAGUGUUCCUGAUCUGAGAGAAGAUGUCCAGUGGCGUAGACCAUAUAACAUCCAUAAUACACUCCUAGACCAGGAUAAAGAUAGAGCGAGCACAUCUGGAACAAGCGUUUCAACAUGAUGUUUAUGCCACUGAAAAUGUUACAAGAAGAAACUGCAUAAAAAAGAAGUGAAAAUAAUCUCUGUAUUUGAGUACUUAAAGGGAAGGUCAACCGAAAAAUCAAAUGUCUGUCAUCAUUUACUCCAAGCCUUCUUUUUUUGUGUGUGUAACACAAAAGGAGAUAUUUUGAAUAAUGUUGGCAACCAAACAGUUUUAAGUCCUGCUGACUUCAAUAGUGGACAAAAAACUGCUUGGUUGCCAACAUUCUUCAAAAUAUUUUCCUUUGUGUUCCACAGACAAAAGAAAAAUUUAUACAGGUUUGGAAUGACAGAAGGGUGAGUAGUUGAUGACAGAAUUUUUGGGUUUUUCCAUUUUUGGGUGGACAAACCCAAGGUACAAAUAUGAAUGUGUUUUGUCAUGUACAGACAUGUUUAGGUAAUUUAAAACGUUUAUUCAUUGGUAUUGUGGAAAUAUUACGAUAGUUAUGUAAU